CCGAGCCUCCGGAGGGUGUCUGGGUUUCAAUCCGAAUCUUGCUGUGUGCUCUGCUCCCGCGCCUCUCUUCCUUGUCCUAAAACGCUGCCUCAGACACAUUCCCGGUAAGACAGAAGAAAGGAAGAAGCAGGAAGGUCAUGGAGGAGUAGCAGAAGACCAAUAGGUAAACUUGACCCUGUGAAUUCUCAGCUCUGUCUUUGAAGACUGGGGAAACUGAGGCCCACACAAGAGAAGUAAUUGUCCAAGGUCACAGAGGAAAAGAAAAAUUCCUAAUGGCUACACGACUUAGCUCAUCAGCACCUGUUCUUCUCUUGGGAUCAUAUGGCAAGUCAGUUUGGUGGUCUGUGCCUCAGUUUACUUAUCUGAAAAAUGGAGCCAAACAGAUCAGUCACCCGCAGUUGAUCAACAGGAAAGACAAGAUUCUUCAGGAGAGAUAAUUUAUCCUAAUACUUGGCACAGAAGUGAUAAGCAAUAAAUAUUAGAUUUCUUCA